rnacentral:rRNA from 1 species
UGGGGAAUUUUGGACAAUGGGGGCAACCCUGAUCCAGCCAUGCCGCGUGGAUGAAGAAGGCCUUCGGGUUGUAAAGUACUUUUGUUAGGGAAGAAAAGGGAAGUGCUAACACCACUUUUUGCUGACGGUACCUAAAGAAUAAGCACCGGCUAACUACGUGCCAGCAGCCGCGGUAAUACGUAGGGUGCGAGCGUUAAUCGGAAUUACUGGGCGUAAAGCGAGCGCAGACGGUUAUUUAAGCAGGAUGUGAAAUCCCCGGGCUCAACCUGGGAACUGCGUUCUGAACUGGAUAGCUAGAGUGUGUCAGAGGGGGGUGGAAUUCCACGUGUAGCAGUGAAAUGCGUAGAGAUGUGGAGGAAUACCGAUGGCGAAGGCAGCCCCCUGGGAUAACACUGACGUUCAUGCUCGAAAGCGUGGGUAGCAAACAGGAUUAGAUACCCUGGUAGUCCACGCCCUAAACGAUGUCGAUUAGCUGUUGGGCAACUUGAUUGCUUGGUAGCGUAGCUAACGCGUGAAAUCGACCGCCUGGGGAGUACGGUCGCAAGAUUA